AAUUAAAUAAACUUUUUUUAUUUUCAAACAUUUAUUUAUGAAAAAAUGAUCCUUUAUUUAGAUUAAAAGAAAAAAUUACCUUAGGGAUAACAGCGUAAUUUUUUUAGAGAGUUCUAAUCGAAAAAAAAGAUUGCGACCUCGAUGUUGGAUUAAAAUUAAAUAUUGGUGUAGAAGCUAGUAAUUUAGGUCUGUUCGACCUUUAAAAUUUUACAUGAUCUGAGUUUA
rnacentral:rRNA from 1 species